rnacentral:antisense_RNA from 1 species
AGUCGCCAGGCACCGGCCACGGCGCACGCCAACAUUCAGGAUAAUUCUCCUUUCCAAGCCCGGGAGUUCCGGGGCAGGCGAAAAAGGGGGGAUGGGAGACCCACAGUCCCUUUAACCCUCCCCCCUGGCCUGCCAACCUUUUCCGAACCCCCAUGUCACACAACUUCCUCAUCAUGGAAACUUCCACUGGGUUCGGCGCUGAGGAUGCCAAACUCCAUUUCACAAGGAACAUGUCAACAGCUGGGCUUGGGGUUUGAGGAACAGAGUCGCUGCGAUUGGAACAGAGCCCGGCCACCCUGUUCCACCACUGUCCACUCCGUAGCUCCCAGCCUGCCGCCGCGCGGUGCCCGAACACGAGAGGGCACCUCCUCCCAGAUCCGGGGCGCAGAAGCCCCGCGGAGGCAGGUAGAAGAUUCUGAGGCCCUGGGCGGGAACUAGUAAGCCACAAUCUGGAAGAGUCUUUUAUCACCAUGUGGAGGAGAACUAGAGCACUCAUGUUGAACUAUUACCGAGAAAAGUAAUCAACUUCUUUUGUGUUAAGUCACUGAAAGGCAAGUGUUAAUUUGUUGCAGUAAUUGGUGCUCCCUUAACACACCUGUCAGCCAGGCCAAACUCUAUCACAGCAUAAAUAAUCUUUUCCUUAAAUAAAUACAGGUAAAAGAAUAAAAUAGACCUAAGUGCAUUAAUAUGAAUAUAGGCUCAAAGCAAAAUGUUGGGCUAUAAAUGUUCAGAGUGAUAAUUUUUUAAGUUGAUGUGUAAUUUAGUACAGUAAAAUAGAUAAAACCUAAAUGUUCAGUUCAAUGAAUUUUUACAUGUUCAUACCCCUGUAUAAUCACCUCCCAGAACAACACAGAAAAUACUUCAUAUAAAUGGAAUCAUACAGUGUGUUUUCUCUUGUGUCUGGUUUCUUUCACUCAAUGUUUUUGAGGUGAAUCCACAUUAUUGUGUGGAUUAGAACGCUGUUCUCUUAAAAUUUCUGUUUGACAUUACGUUAUAUGAAUAUGCCACAAUUUGUUUAUUCAUUCUCCAAUUGAUGGACAUUUGGGUUGUUUCCAAUUUGGGACUAUGACAAAUGAAGCAGCUAUGAACAUUCUUGAACACUUAUUUUUGUGGUACAUGCACUCAUAUCUCCUGGGCAUAUGCAUAGGAGUGAAAUUGAUGGUCAUAUAUUUAUCUGAGUUAUUCUAUUAAAGCUCAAAAUGAUCAAUAUUCAAAA